AGGCGUGAUGACGAGGCACUACGGUGCUGAAGCAACAAAUGCCCUGCUUCCAGGAAAAGCCUCUAAGCAUCAGGUAACAUCAAAUCGUACCCCAAACCGACACAGGUGGUCAGGUAGAGAAUACCAAGGCGCUUGAGAGAACUCGGGUGAAGGAACUAGGCAAAAUGGUGCCGUAACUUCGGGAGAAGGCACGCUGAUACGUAGGUGAAGUCCCUUGCGGAUGGAGCUGAAAUCAGUCGAAGAUACCAGCUGGCUGCAACUGUUUAUUAAAAACACAGCACUGUGCAAACACGAAAGUGGACGUAUACGGUGUGACGCCUGCCCGGUGCCGGAAGGUUAAUUGAUGGGGUUAGCGGUAACGCGAAGCUCUUGAUCGAAGCCCCGGUAAACGGCGGCCGUAACUAUAACGGUCCUAAGGUAGCGAAAUUCCUUGUCGGGUAAGUUCCGACCUGCACGAAUGGCGUAAUGAUGGCCAGGCUGUCUCCACCCGAGACUCAGUGAAAUUGAACUCGCUGUGAAGAUGCAGUGUACCCGCGGCAAGACGGAAAGACCCCGUGAACCUUUACUAUAGCUUGACACUGAACAUUGAGCCUUGAUGUGUAGGAUAGGUGGGAGGCUUUGAAGUGUGGACGCCAGUCUGCAUGGAGCCGACCUUGAAAUACCACCCUUUAAUGUUUGAUGUUCUAACGUUGGCCCCUAAUCGGGGUUGCGGACAGUGUCUGGUGGGUAGUUUGACUGGGGCGGUCUCCUCCUAAAGAGUAACGGAGGAGCACGAAGGUUGGCUAAUCCUGGUCGGACAUCAGGAGGUUAGUGCAAUGGCAUAAGCCAGCUUGACUGCGAGCGUGACGGCGCGAGCAGGUGCGAAAGCAGGUCAUAGUGAUCCGGUGGUUCUGAAUGGAAGGGCCAUCGCUCAACGGAUAAAAGGUACUCCGGGGAUAACAGGCUGAUACCGCCCAAGAGUUCAUAUCGACGGCGGUGUUUGGCACCUCGAUGUCGGCUCAUCACAUCCUGGGGCUGAAGUAGGUCCCAAGGGUAUGGCUGUUCGCCAUUUAAAGUGGUACGCGAGCUGGGUUUAGAACGUCGUGAGACAGUUCGGUCCCUAUCUGCCGUGGGCGCUGGAGAACUGAGGGGGGCUGCUCCUAGUACGAGAGGACCGGAGUGGACGCAUCACUGGUGUUCGGGUUGUCAUGCCAAUGGCACUGCCCGGUAGCUAAAUGCGGAAGAGAUAAGUGCUGAAAGCAUCUAAGCACGAAACUUGCCCCGAGAUGAGUUCUCCCUGACUCCUUGAGAGUCCUGAAGGAACGUUGAAGACGACGACGUUGAUAGGCCGGGUGUGUAAGCGCAGCGAUGCGUUGAGCUAACCGGUACUAAUGAACCGUGAGGCUUAACCUUACAAC
rnacentral:rRNA from 1 species